UCCCAGACUCCUACGGGAGGCAGCAGUGGGGAAUAUUGCACAAUGGGGGGAACCCUGAUGCAGCGACGCCGCGUGGGUGAAGGAGCACCUCGGUGCGUAAAGCCCUGUCAGCAGGGAAGAAAAUGACGGUACCUGAAGAAGAAGCCCCGGCUAACUACGUGCCAGCAGCCGCGGUAAUACGUAGGGGGCAAGCGUUAUCCGGAUUUACUGGGUGUAAAGGGGGCGCAGACGGCAGCGCAAGCCAGGAGUGAAAGCCCGGGGCCCAACCCCGGGACUGCUCUUGGAACUGCGCGGCUGGAGUGCAGGAGGGGCAGGCGGAAUUCCUGGUGUAGCGGUGAAAUGCGUAGAUAUCAGGAGGAACACCGGUGGCGAAGGCGGCCUGCUGGACUGCGACUGACGUUGAGGCCCGAAAGCGUGGGGAGCAAACAGGAUUAGAUACCCAGUAC
rnacentral:rRNA from 1 species